rnacentral:rRNA from 1 species
CGGAACGGGUGAGUAAUGCGUGACCAACCUGCCCCAUGCUCCAGAAUAGCUCUUGGAAACGGGUGGUAAUGCUGGAUGCUCCAACUUGACGCAUGUCUUGUUGGGAAAGUGUUUAGUGGCAUGGGAUGGGGUCGCGUCCUAUCAGCUUGUAGGCGGGGUAAUGGCCCACCUAGGCUUCGACGGGUAGCCGGCCUGAGAGGGCGGACGGCCACAUUGGGACUGAGAUACGGCCCAGACUCCUACGGGAGGCAGCAGUA